GCCAGUGUGGUUUAGUGGUUUAGUGUUGGAUUGUGACUCUAGAGGCCAAGGUUCAAUUCCUAGUAGCCA